rnacentral:piRNA from 1 species
UGGAAACACAUUUGUCCCACCAGUGCAGC